rnacentral:rRNA from 1 species
GAUGAACGCUGGCGGCGUGCCUAACACAUGCAAGUCGAGCGAUCUUCUUCGGAAGAGAGCGGCGGACGGGUGAGUAACGCGUGGGUAACCUGCCCUGUACACACGGAUAACAUACCGAAAGGUAUGCUAAUACGAGAUAAUAUGCUUUUAUCGCAUGGUAGAAGUAUCAAAGCUCUGGCGGUACAGGAUGGACCCGCGUCUGAUUAGCUAGUUGGUGAGGUAAUGGCUCACCAAGGCGACGAUCAGUAGCCGACCUGAGAGGGUGAUCGGCCACAUUGGAACUGAGACACGGUCCAAACUCCUACGGGAGGCAGCAGUGGGGAAUAUUGGGCAAUGGGCGCAAGCCUGACCCAGCAACGCCGCGUGAAGGAAGAAGGCUUUCGGGUUGUAAACUUCUUUUGUCGAGGAAGAGUAGAAGACUGUACUCGGCGAAUAAGCCACGGCUAACUACGUG